rnacentral:lncRNA from 1 species
CGCAGCCUGCGGGUUCACGUAGAGACAGGCUACGGUUACCCGGUAUUUUUCUCUCUUGUGUUUUAUUAACAGUCCAAGUUGCGGUUUCCAGUACUUGGCAAGUGGAUACACGAUUCGCUUUUCACGUUAUCUCUUUCUUUGGGGUGCGAUUUGGUGGUUCCUGUUGGCCACUUCCGUCCUUCCGUAUCGCUGUGCAACAGUCUGGCUUCAAACUCAAGCUCCGUCUCCUGUGUGCCGGCCUGACAAGAAUGAACCAGUUUUUCUGAACAUCAGAGAUCCGGGGGAUGCCCCUGGCUGGCUACAGAAUCAACUUAGAGCCAGUGGUGUGUGAGACCACAGGGCAGCAGCUACAUACAGAGUAGGAAAACGGUGCCCUCAAUCUUAGAGAGGGAGGGAGGGGGGCUCCUAAAGUCGGAACUGGAGGGGCUGGAGAGAUGGCUCAGCUGUUAAGAGCACUGGCUGCUCUUCCAGAGGAUCCAGGUUCAAUUCCCAGCACCCACAUGGCAGCUCAUGACCAUCUGUAACUCCAGUUCCAGGGGAUUCGACAACCUCCCACAGACAUACAUGCAAGCAAAACACCAGUGCACAUUAAAUAAAACAUUUAAAGUGGUGAUUG